AGAGAACCAGUUUGAAGCAGUUGGAGCAGAGUGUAUUGGUGUUGGAGCAGAGAACAGUUUGGAGAAGAGCAGAUGAAAGUUUGGAGCAGUGCUGCAGUGGGCU